rnacentral:rRNA from 1 species
UACGGAGGGAGCUAGCGUUGUUCGGAAUUAUUGGGCGUAAAGCGCGCGCAGGUGGUUUCUUAAGUCUGAUGUGAAAGCCCACGGCUCAACCGUGGAGGGUCAUUGGAAACUGGGGAACUUGAGUGCAGAAGAGGAAAGUGGAAUUCCAAGUGUAGCGGUGAAAUGCGUAGAGAUUUGGAGGAACACCAGUGGCGAAGGCGACUUUCUGGUCUGUAACUGACACUGAGGCGCGAAAGCGUGGGGAGCGAACAGG